UGGGGAAUCUUGCACAAUGGGGGAAACCCUGAUGCAGCGACGCCGCGUGAGCGAUGAAGCCCUUCGGGGCGUAAAGCUCUUUCGACCGGACAGAUAAUGACGGUACCGGGAGAAGAAGCUGCGGCUAACUACGUGCCAGCAGCCGCGGUAAUACGUAGGCAGCAAGCGUUGUUCGGAGUUACUGGGCGUAAAGAGUGCGUAGGCGGUUUUCUAAGUUCGGUGUGAAAUCUCCCGGCUUAACUGGGAGGGUGCGCCGAAGACUGGGAUGCUGGAGUGUGGGAAAGCCAGGCGGAAUUCCUGGUGUAGCAGUGAAAUGCGUAGAUAUCAGGAGGAACACCGGCGGUGUAGACGGCUUGCUAGACCAUAACUGACGCUCAGGCACGAAAGCGUGGGUAGCAAACA
rnacentral:rRNA from 1 species